rnacentral:rRNA from 1 species
UACGUAGGGUCCGAGCGUUGUCCGGAAUUACUGGGCGUAAAGAGCUCGUAGGUGGUUUGUCGCGUUGUUCGUGAAAAACUCACAGCUUAACUGUGGGCGUGCGGGCGAUACGGGGCAGACUAGAGUACUGCAGGGGAGACUGGAAUUCCUGGUGUAGCGGUGGAAUGCGCAGAUAUCAGGAGGAACACCGGUGGCGGAAGGC